rnacentral:lncRNA from 1 species
GGCAUGGUGAUACCUUCUUAAGGACACAGGAGGCUGGGGGAGGCCAGAUGGAGGGUGGCUGCUAUGGAAACAGGGUGAAGUUUCAGAUUUGACCUUUUAAUAAUGUUUAGUUGGUAUCAGUAAUGGCAUCUUCUGUCUCUUUUGUAAAUAGGCAAAUGCCAGGCAGGACUAUGUAAAGAAAGAAUCACACGCUAAAACAAAUUCAGAUAGACUUAAAUCAUCGUCUGUGACUUCUAUGAUCUGAAAAUUUGGACCCUGUCCCUCCCACCCAAUAAUGCAUAUGUUGAAAUCCUAACCCCAAGGCGAUGGUAUUAGGAGGUGGGAUUUUAGGGAGGUGAUUAGGUCACUAAAGCAGAGCCCUCAUGAAUGUGAUUAGUGCCCUUAUGAGACAAGACCCCAGAGAGCUUGUUCACGCUUCCCAUCAUGUGAGUACACAGCAAGAUGGUGCUGUCUAUGAACCAGGCAGAGGGCUGUCAUCGAGAACCAAGUUUACUAUGCCUUGAUCUUGGGACUUCGAGCCUCCAGAAUGAGAAAAACACUGAAGAACUGUGUGGGCUGCCUUUGAGGAUGAAGCAGAUGUCUGCCAAGAUCUGUUUCCAUUCUGAGGAGCACAAGCUAAACAUCAGCCUCUUCACUCCUCAUUUACACCCUUACCCUGAGUCGAUCCAUCAAGACCCUCCACUGAGAGGGACAAAUUAUAAUGAUCUUUGUAUGAGGCAGUUUGAACUUGCCUUCCUGUUGCUUGUAAACUAAGUCGCAACCCAAGCUACUGAGAAAUCUCUGCACGUCGGAUAUUUUUCUCCUAAUUGAUAAGAAAGUGCUCAAAAAUAGAACUGUCAUCUGACAAAUCCUGGAACUAAUUGCCUUACACGUAGCAGGCUGCUAAAUGUGACCAGCAUUCUCCCCUCCAUUCGGUGGUUCCCAAGGAAACGAGGUUAAUGCAUUCAUGACUAACG